AAUUAGGGAAAAUGAGGGAUAUCCCCCUAGUUUUGAAAAUAUAUAUGUGUAGGUCCAAUGAUUUUUUCUUUCCUAGGCAAAAACCCAAUUUUGGAACUUAAUUUGUUAGACCCCCUGGAUUUAAGUGACGUGACCAAUUUACCCUUGCAGUUUAAAACCCUAAAACCAUGUUUUAUCUUCUCGCCUACUUUUCUCGAUCUAUUCUCUCCCAACUCCCAUUCUCUUCCAUCUCUCUAGAUCCACCGUCACUCUGCCGCUCAACGCCACCCCGCCACCCACCGCCGAUCAGCGCCACACCGCCGUCCACUGCCGCUCAACGCCACUCCGCCACCCACCGCAAAUCAGCGCCCCACCGCCGCCCACCGCCGUUCUACCUUUCACUUGCAUCGCCGUUCCUCCGAGUGCUAGAAUCUCCAGAAAAGUUCUUUGUUUAGGAUUGUUGUUUUUGCUACUUCUAAUACAGUAAGGAAUGAUGGGGAGAAGUGCGCUAUAAAGUCAAACCCAUUCAGAGUAUAGAAAACCACUAUAUAUUACUAUAGUCAUAUAUAGUAACGUAUAGUAAUAUUACUAUAUGUUACUAUAGUCAUAUAUAGUAACGUAUAGUAACAUUACUAUAUGUUACUGUAGUCAUUAUAUAGUAACAUAUAGUAACAUUACUAUAUGUUACUAUAGUCAUAUAUAGUAACAUAUAGUAACAUGCGGUCAUGUCUGGAUUAUGUGGGUUUUUUAAUGUAGAGUGAUGAUGAUGAUUUGUUCUUUUGUUGAAUAAUAUAUGCAUGUGAUUGUGUA